rnacentral:rRNA from 1 species
CAGUCGCUACUUGGAGGGCUUUGUCGACGGCACUCUACCGUGCCCCCGCCAUACCACCCGGGGCAUCAUGCGUGGGUGGCUCAGGAUCAUGCCAUCCUCUCUGCCAUCCAGUCCUCUCUAACGGAGGGGGUCUCGUCACUGGUCAUCUUCGCCGCUACGUCUCGGGACGCGUGGACGGCUCUUCAUACCAGUUUUGCAUCGCAGUCUCAGGCGCGGGCUCAUGCUAUCCGCACUGCGCUUGGGGAAGUGAAGCUUCAUGAUCUCACUGUCACCGACUACUUCAACAAGGUGACGGGUAUGGCUGACACACUUGCCUCCAUUGGCAUGGCUCUUGGUCCAGAGGAGUUCACAUCUUAUGUGCUGAACGGACUGAGUGACGACUAUGAUAAUUUGGUGGAGAAUAUCAAUGGUCGUGACACUCCCAUCCAGCCGCGUGAGUUGUACGCGCGUCUCCUUGCUACGGAACAUCGCAUCCAGGCUCGCCGCUCUACGCCGAGCUUCCCUUCCGCCAAUGCUGCAAUGCGU